UAGCAGGCCCAUCGAGGAUAGCCCUCCCC
rnacentral:piRNA from 1 species